GAGAGAGGAGGGGGCGGAGCCUGUCUCAGACGGAAGGGGGCGCGCUCACGGGGUCGCAGGCGGAGUUGCUAUGGAUGGAGCCGCGGUAGCCAGUGACCUGCUGACACUGGGGUACGAUGCCCUCCCAGAGGGGGCGUCUCGGGGCCCCGCGUGUGCGGACUUCAGGGCGCUGUGCGCGCGACUGGCGGCGGAGCUGACGACUCUGGGAGCUGUGGAGCGGCGAGAGGAGGGCACCGCGGUUCUCGGCGCCGGCCACGGCCCGGACGCAGAGGAAGAGUUCCUGCGGCAGUUGGCUGGCCUGCUGCGGGCGUUGCACUGCCCGGAUCGCGCGCUCUGCGGCGGAGACUGCGCCACCGUGCUGCGGGAGCCCGGUGGCGGCCUGCGCCUGCUGCGGUUUCUUUGCUCUGAGCUCCAGGCUGCUCGCCUCUUGCAUCUAAAGCUCCAGCGUGAUCCUAGCCCUGUGCCGUCCUUUGGAGAAGGCACAAAGGAGGGAAAUGGCAUGGUUCAGGAACUGAUGCUAACUCUUAAAGCCCUGGGGCUUCCUAGACCCCUGCGUGGAACCCUGGCUAGCCAGCUACUUCGGGAGUUUCAUGACAAGAUCUCUGAGCUGCUGCCUGCCCUGCCCCCAGAGUCCAUGAAGCCCCUCCUUAACUCGCCACUGGAUGCAUCUCGAUGGGAAGCCCUGGAGGCUUUGUCCCAAAGCCUGACUGAACAGUACGGCUGCCGUCGCUGCCUCCUCCUGAAGCGCCUGGACCUCACAACAUCUGCUUUCCACUGGGGCGAUCGGGCAGAGCCGAGGAUGAUCCUGACAACCUCUCCUGAUCCUUCCUCUUCCCUAGUACUGAGAUUCCAGUACUACACCACCUCAGCCAGCUCUCCACCCCAGCACAUGCACCUUGGAGAAGGCAGCCCCUCUGAAGCACACAGAGACCCUGAGUAGGGGUGAGCUCUUGGGCACCUUCUCCAUGUAUGCCCUUCCCCUGCUCUAGGCCCACGGAGAGGUCAUGAAGGCAGUGCUCUGCCCAAUCCGAGGGCUUCUGACUCCAGAGUCUGAUGUCUCUACCGCACAUGUUCUGGCUGCCCGAGCUGACCUUUCUCGCCUGGUCCCAGCUACCAGUGUGGCUGCCCGACGAGGGACCAGCUGUGCAAUCAACAAGGUGCUUAUGGGUGAUGUGCCAGACCGUGGGGGGCGCCCAGGCGAGCUGGAGGCUCCCAUGCCUACCUGGAAGAGCCGAAGAGAGGAUGGAGGAAGGGGGAAAGCUGGCCAGCAGCGCUGGGGCCACAGAAAGAAGAAGAAGUAAAGGGCCUUCCAGGGUCGGUUGCAGGUUCUGUUGGGUGCUGACGCCGCUGUCAAUCCUUGGGGGGCCACUGAGGGUUGUCUUUGGCAAGCCUUCUCUUCCCUGUCCCGCAGGUCCUAAAUGCCCUACACCCAGCCACCACUCCACACCAUGAACCAUGAACUAUGAACCGUGUUGUGUGAAAAAUAAAUUUAAUUCUUUCGAUUGUUA